GUGGGCGUAGGAAGAUUGAGGAGCGUCAUCUCCAGUACGAGAGGACCGAGAUGGCUCGACCGCUGGUGCGCCAGUUGGGGUGCCCACCCCACAGCUGGAUAGCUAUGUCGAGAAGGGAUAAGCGCUGACAGCAUCUAAGCGCGAAGCCGCUCCCAAGAUGAGUCUUCCCACUGUGUCACGCACAGUCAAGAUCCCAGGGAGAUUACCUGGUAGAUAGACCACAGGUGGAGGCCUGGUAACAGGUGAAGCCAAGUGGCCCUAAUGAUCGUACGGCUUGUC
rnacentral:rRNA from 1 species